rnacentral:misc_RNA from 1 species
GACCUGAAUAUGAAAUUUAAUCAAUUCUCCCCAUUGUAACCUAAAAUAUCGUGGUAACAUUGAUGCACGCAGAAGUAAUUGACAACCCUAUUUUAUAUUAGUACAGUACAGGCGCAUAAAAGCACGCCUUCCCUAAAUAUCUGCAAAACUUACAUCCAUAAAUGAAGUUAAAAAAAAAAAAAAGGCAUGAACCUAGAACACCAUGUGGAUCCUUUCCUUUCACGUAGAAUGGAGUCAGUGAUCUCGGGAAGCUCACCCUCAUUAGAGAUACCUUCGGAACCUUCUUGCCAGCAAGAGAUCUGAACAUAACUCCUAUAAUAUGGAGCGUGUGAACUGUGAAUAGUUUAAAUCUCGCGACAAAAUCAGUAACAUCACAUAGCAAUAUUUGGGUCCAGCCUUCUUUGAAUAGCAGCUGCAGCCUCGAAGUUGCCAAGCUUGUACUGGUAAGCCAUCUCCUCCUUGAGCUGGACUUGCUCUUUCAUUGCUUGUGCCAUUCCACUCUGCAUAGAGAGCUUUAAAGCUUCCACCUGUUGUUCCUUGUGCCUUUCCCGUUCUUGCAGCAAUUCUAGCCGACGCUGUUCUUCAUCGUUGAAAACAGUACGCUCUUUUUGCAGGACCUUCUUGAAACCCUUUUUCAUUUCCUUCUCCAUUUUAUGCUUGUGAUAAGCAUCAAGGUUAUAAUACUUUUUAGAUGGAAAGGUGGCUGUGUUGUGGUCCUCCAUGAAUUCUUUGAACAUUUGCUUCUCUUCCCAAUU